UCAGGCUCCAAAUAUGGAGCACUUCACAAAAUGGAGAGAUUUGUCUAUUUUAGGCAAACAUCCCAAACCUUGAGGUGCCCAGUGCAGCCAAACUACCGAACUCUUUGAAAGUUCUCAUCACAAUUUCUAACAAAUCUUGCUCUCUAAAAAGUAUUUGAUGUAAACAUGCCUAUGUACAGCUUUGUAGAGUGUGAUCUGGUCCAAAUUAGCCCUAGUUUGUUAAGCUUUAAAGCAUGCUUCAGUGCUCAUCUUCCCUUCCUGCUGGGGAACUCUGUUGUGAGAGGUACAGGAGGUUAAACCUUUAAUGGAAGAAGUGAAACUGACAAAGCCCACUAACUAAAUUGAAUCAGUCAGUAUCAACAUGUGUAAGUGACAAAGAGGCAAGAUGAAAGAUUGGGGCCCUGCUUCUGAUCUGCCCCAAGCCUAUCCUGGAAUGCCCCCUGGGCAUGGGGCUCCUAUGGAGACAGUGCACAACUGCCAGAUCUGCUCCUCAACAAAGGGGCCUUCUGCACUGGGGAUGUUCCCCAGGUGGGGAGAAAGCUUAUGCCAACUCUGGGCACCUUUGGUACUAGGAAAGAUGGAAAAGUGCAAUAUGUAGAAAACAAAGACAUCACAAUAUAGAAUUACCUACAUGGCAGCACUGCAGUUAGUUAUUAACUACAGUGUGUAGCACUUGCAUAGUGCUUUAUGUUUUCAAAUUACUGUACAGACGCUAAUUAAACUGUGGGGUGAUCACUAUCUACCGAUUUGGAAUCUUUUUCUUUAAAAAAAAUAUUAUUAUUUGGUGAAGUUUUACAGUUGACCUCCAAAGUGCUGCAUUGUCCCCCCCUCCC